AUUCAAUGUGUAUAUCCGUUUACAGUUUGUUACGUGUUCUCCACACAAUUGCUUUUGAUCUCUUCAACUUUGGCGAAUGGGCAGAUUCUCUUUUCUACACGCUUUUGGCUUCUUUAUUAAGAAGCAAAUUUGUGUGUGUGCUGUGUGUAGACAGGAGGAAAUUAGAUUCAGUGCUUCUGCUCUUCUAAUUGUCUAGAAAGGCACGUUGUAAGGCUGCAUUAAAGUGCUCGAGUUUGAGAAAUGGCUACGAAACCAGAUAAUGGAGGAGAGAAGAAGGUUUUUUACGACCCAGUUUAUAGUCCAAGGCGUUCACAGAAUAAUAACAACAAUAAUAGACAGUUGUUUGAUGAUUUCAGUGUUGCAAAUCAUGUGCACUUUUUGAGGCCACCGUUGGCCUCAGCGGAUACCAGCAGUCUGCUGCAGAAGCAGAACAAGGAGAGAAAGGCCAAGGAAGAUAAACCUUGAAAAAUCAGUUUGGUCUUCUUCUGAUGAUGAUGAUGAUGAUCAUGUUUGUAAUGAUGAUAUUAGGUCAGAUCAUCUGCUUACAUUGUGUAUAUAUUGUCCAUAUUAGCAGGGACCAGGAGCCUUUCUAUGCUUAACUCAGAUAUGGUUGGAAACUCAAUAUUAAAUUUUGAGCAGCAAUCUUUAAUGUGACUUCAGUUUCUUAAUCCAGUAAUGUUUUUGGAGUAA